rnacentral:rRNA from 1 species
UACGUAGGGGGCAAGCGUUGUCCGGAAUCAUUGGGCGUAAAGAGCUCGUAGGCGGCUUGUCGCGUCAACUGUGAAAACCCGUGGCUCAACCAUGUGGUCUGCAGUCGAUACGGGCAGGCUAGAAUUCGGUAGGGGAGACUGGAAUUCCUGGUGUAGCGGUGAAAUGCGCAGAUAUCAGGAGGAACACCGGUGGCGAAGGCGGGUCUCUGGGCCGAUAUUGACGCUGAGGAGCGAAAGCGUGGGGAGCGAACAGG